rnacentral:lncRNA from 1 species
GUAAGCGGGACCAGCAAGGAGUCUGGUGGGGAAGCAGACAAACCCCUUAAUCACACAUGGCCCUGCACAAGCCACUUCAGAUGCAGAAUAAAGAGUACACAAGCGUGUGCAACAGAGGCUCAUGUCAGAAAGCCAUGCCCUGGGCCUUGCACGUCACUCCCCAGCAGGGUGCCCAGAAAAUGCCACUGGGAAAUGGAGGCCUUUGGGGUACCUGACAAGCUAGAGCUGUGGGUUGCUGUUUUCGUUUGUUUGUUUUUGUCUAACUCACCUUGUUUUCAGGAAGACUUGCAGCUUAAUAAGGAGGCUUUACAUGGGAACCCAAAGGCUACUGGGUGCAGAAGGGUGGGAAACCAGAUGGACUUGGUUGAAUUCAGGUCUGCCACUUGGUGGCCUUGCGGCCGUGGACACCAUGGGUAACUUCUCUGAGCCUCAGUUUUUUUGUCUGAAAAUGAGGAUAGUCCUGCGGUAUUACUGUAAUAAUUAAAUGAAAUCAAAGGUGCCAGGCUAACUAGCGAACUCUCUGUUGGCACACUUCUUUCCUGAGUGCCUGCAGUGUGCCUGGCUCUGGACAGCAGGGAACAAAGCACUCUGGGGGGUUGCGGAGAGAGUACAGAACAUCAGCUUGUGAACCCCGAAUAUCUGAGACAGGUCUCAGUUAAUUUAGAAAGUUUAUUUUUGCCAAGGUUGAGGAUGCACGCCCGUGACACAGCCUCAGGAGGUCCUGAUGACACAUGCCCAAGGUGGUCAGAGCACAGUUUGGUUUUAUAUAUUUUAGGGAGAUACAUCAAUCAACAUAUGUAAGAUGUACAUUGGUUCAGUCCGGAAAGGCGGGACAACUCGAAGCGGGAGGUGGCUUCCAGGUCAUAGGUAGAUAAAAGGCAAAUGGUUGCAUUCUUUUGAGUUUGUGAUGAGCCUCUCCAAAGGAGGCAAUCAGAUAUGCAUUUAUUUCAUUGAGCAGAGGGGUGACUUUGAAUAGAAGGGGAGGCAGGUUGGCACUAAGCAGUUCCCAGCUUGACUUUUCCCUUUAGUGAUUUUGGGUCCCUCAGAUUUAUUCUUCUCUCACAAACCAGAAGACAAACUGCCACAGAGUGAUGAGCACCCUGGAGAACUGGAAUUGGGCCACACAGGCCAGCACCAGGUAGUGAGUGAGUUCUGGCUCUAAGAGUUCAUGCAAGAGCUGAUUGUUUAAAGAGGCUGGCACCUCCUCCUCCCUCUCUUGCCACGUGAGACCCCGCUGCCCCUUGGCCUUCUGCCAUGAUUGAAAGCUUCCUGAGGCCCCACUGGAAGCAGAUGCUGACACCGUUGCUUCGUGUACAGUCUGUAGAACUAUGAGACAAAUAAACUGCUUUGUAAAUACCCAGCCUCAGUAUUCCUUUAUAGCAGUGCAAAACAGACUAAUCAAAGGGGGAAGCAUUUCCAGGUAAAGAAGAUAACCAAUUAUUGUUAUUGUAAUAUCUAAAGAAACCGUAAAUUUCAAAGGUAAAAUCUAACCUUAUUCUAGUGCCCAAGGAAGUGCUGGGAAUGUUUAAAUAAGAGGGCAGCAGGGAAUGGAAGGAGCGCCUCGGAAAUGCCUACUCCAUGCCAGGCUCCCUACUACAGGCUUUACGUGUUAUCUUGUACAUCUCAGUAAGAUGAGCAGACAUGGUGCUUUUUAAAAGACGUCAUGGGAGUUUGAAAGGGGGAAGAUUGGGUAAAUGGAAAAACAGAAGUCAUGGCUUUGCAAAAGUUGAAUCAAACUGCUCCUUGGCCCGGCCCCAUCACACACACAGAUCCCCCUUGGCAUGGCCAAAAUGAGUGUGUUCAUUGGCAAAUCAGCAGCCACUCUUGGAAGCUCUGACUUCUCUGGAAGGCAGAUGACAGAAGCAGUCUAUUUUAUUCCUAUUUUAUAGAUGAGGGAACUGAGGCUCAGAAACAAACACUCAUCAUUUGAAUACAGGAGCCAUUACCGAAUCAAACCUCUCUGGAAACCGCCUGAACUCUAUGUGAUCCAGGAAGGGGAAAGACUGUGUGCUCAGUUAGAGAAAGACUAGAGAUGGUCACACCAGCUACCAUUAGUUGAGACCUUACCAGACACAGUGCUCACCACUCCACAGUCACAGACAAACAUCUCACUUAAAACUCCAAAGUGGCCGGGUGCGGUGGCUCAUGCCUGUAGUCCCAGCACGUUGGGAGGCUGAGGUGGGCGGAUUAAGAGGUCAAGAAUUUGAGACCAGCCUGGCCAACAUGGCGAAACCCCGUCUCUACUAAGAAUACAAAAAUUAGGGCUGGGCGCGGUG